GGUCCGAUGGUGUAGUUGGUUAUCACUUCUGUCUAACAUCUGAAUCACGUAUCAUCUGGUUACGUAAAUGUGAACACAGGCGGUCCUCAGUUCGAACCUGGGUCGGAUCA